GGCUGCUCCGAAUGUAGUGAGUUCUCUCAGUUGACUGUUUACACUCAAUUGCAGAUGGAAAUGCUUGUUCUAUUUCCUUCCCUCUUCUUACUAUUGCACUUGACUAGCCUAAA
ensembl:Y_RNA Y_RNA Y RNA